rnacentral:misc_RNA from 1 species
AACGCACAUUGCGCCCCUUGGUAUUCCAUGGGGCAUGCCUGUUCGAGCGUCAUUUAACCCCUCAAGCACUGCUUGGUGUUGGGUGUCUGUCCCGCCGUCCGCGCGAGGACUCGCCCCAAAAGCAUUGGCAGCGGUCGUGCCAGCCCCUUCGCGCAGCAGUUUGCGAUCGAUGGAGGCGUAUUGCGGCCCGCGUCCACGAAGCUUCUCCAACAUUUGACCUCGGAUCAGGUAGGGAUACCCGCUGAACUUAA